AUACGUAGGGGGCGAGCGUUGUCCGGAUUUAUUGGGCGUAAAGGGUGCGUAGGCGGCCUUGUAAGUCAGAUGUGAAAGAUCAUGGCUUAACUGUGGUAAGCAUUUGAAACUGCAGGGCUUGAGUACAGGAGAGGAGAGUGGAAUUCCUCGUGUAGCGGUGAAAUGCGUAGAUAUUAGGAGGAAUACCAGUGGCGAAGGCGACUCUCUGGACUGAUACUGACGCUGAGGCACGAAAGCGUGGGGAGCAAACAGGAUUAGAUACCCUGGUAGUCCACGCUAUAAACGAUGAGUGCUAGGUGUCGGGGGUCAAACCUCGGUGCCGCAGUUAACACAUUAAGCACUCCGCCUGGGGAGUACGGCCGCAAGGCUGAAACUCAAAUGAAUUGGCGGGG
rnacentral:rRNA from 1 species